UGUGACUGUUCUGAUGUGUUUGUCUCUUCCUGCCUUUUUUCAGGUCUGCAGAUGCCUCCACCACCUGCAUAUGAGUCAACACCACACAGAAAACCAGCCAGUCACCCAGAAUUGAAUGGGUCUAUUGUGACGCAAGCUCAGCCUGAAGAACUCAUCACACAGAGGGAGGUGGCUCAGCCAUGGAGAUGGAAAAGAGAGCCGUGAGGACAUCCAUUACCCGCAUGGCACAGCAGAUGGACGCAUUUGAGGAGAAGAUGGAGCAGAAGAUGGAUGAGCUGCUCAUGCUCUUAAGGAGCUCCCAGUCACCUCCCUCUGCUCCAGUCGAUGACAUGUUGCUGUCGCC